rnacentral:lncRNA from 1 species
CCAUGAAGCCGCAGCCGCCGGGCUAGGCCCGGGGCGGCUCCACGCCUGGGCAGCCCGCAGAGGGCUGGGCCGGUUCCCGGCUCGGGUUCCCAGGGCGGCAGGUGGCCGCUCACCAUGCCCGGCAAGCAUCAGCAAUUCCAGGACCCUGAGGUUGGCUGCUGCGGGAAAUACUUUCUGUUUGGCUUCAACAUUGUCUUCUGGGUGCUGGGAGCCCUGUUCCUGGCCAUCGGCCUCUGGGCCUGGGGUGAGAAGGGCUGACAGAUCUAGGCGGUCUUGACCCCGUGUGGCUGUUUGUGGUGAUUGGGGGAAUCAUGUCAGUGCUGGGCUUUGCCGGCUGCAUUGGGGCCCUCCGGGAAAACACCUUCCUGCUCAAAUU